GUGGGGAAUAUUGGACAAUGGGCGAAAGCCUGAUCCAGCCAUGCCGCGUGUGUGAAGAAGGUCUUCGGAUUGUAAAGCACUUUAAGUUGGGAGGAAGGGCAGUAAGUUAAUACCUUGCUGUUUUGACGUUACCAACAGAAUAAGCACCGGCUAACUUCGUGCCAGCAGCCGCGGUAAUACGAAGGGUGCAAGCGUUAAUCGGAAUUACUGGGCGUAAAGCGCGCGUAGGUGGUUCAGCAAGUUGGAGGUGAAAUCCCCGGGCUCAACCUGGGAACUGCCUCCAAAACUACUGAGGUAGAGUACGGUAGAGGGUAGUGGAAUUUCCUGUGUAGCGGUGAAAUGCGUAGAUAUAGGAAGGAACACCAGUGGCGAAGGCGACUACCUGGACUGAUACUGACACUGAGGUGCGAAAGCGUGGGGAGCAAACAGGAUUAGAUACCCGUGUAGUCC
rnacentral:rRNA from 1 species